rnacentral:rRNA from 1 species
AAGCUCGUAGUUGAAUUUCGGGAUUAGUACGUUGGUCGUGCCUUAGGUACGUACUGGUGUUACUGGUUCCUACCUUCUGACGAACCAUCAUGUCAUUAAUUUGGUGUGGUGGGGAAUCAGGACUGUUACUUUGAAAAAAUUAGAGUGUUUAAAGCAGGCUCGCGCUUGAAUACAUUAGCAUGGAAUAAUGAAAUAGGACGUUGAUCCUAUUUUGUUGGUUUCUAGGAUUGAACGUAAUGAUUAAUAGGGAUAGUUGGG